rnacentral:tRNA from 1 species
GCAGUGGUGGCUUGGUGGUAGAAUUCUCGCCUCCCACGCAGAAGGCCCAGGUUUGAUUCCUGGCCAAUGCA